rnacentral:rRNA from 1 species
AGCGAACGCUGGCGGCAGGCCUAACACAUGCAAGUCGAACGAAAUCUUCGGAGUUAGUGGCGGACGGGUGAGUAACACGUGGGAACGUGCCCUUAGGUUCGGAAUAACUCAGGGAAAGUUGUGCUAAUACCGAAUGUGGCCUUCGGGGGAAAGAUUUAUCGCCAUUAGAGGGGCCCGCGUCUGAUUAGCUAGUUGGUGAGGUAAAGGCCUACCAAGGCGACGAUCAGUAGCUGGUCUGAGAGGAUGACCAGCCACACUGGGACUGAGACACGGCCCAGACUCCUACGGGAGGCAGCAGUGGGGAAUCUUGCACAAUGGGCGAAAGCCUGACGCAGCCAUGCCGCGUGAAUGAUGAAGGUCUUAGGGUUGUAAAGCUCUUUUACCCGGGACGAUAAUGACGGUACCCGGAGAAUAAGCCCCGGCUAACUUCGUG